GACGAACGCUGGCGGCGUGCCUAAUACAUGCAAGUCGAAAGCAGUGGGGACGGGUGAGUAACACGUGGGUAACCUCCCAUCAGAGGGGAUAACACUUGGAAACAGGUGCUAAACCGAUACUGAUGGAUGAACCCGCGGUGCAUUAGCUAGUUGGUGAGGUAACGGCUCACCAAGGCCACGAUGCAUAGCCGGCUUGAGAGGGUGAUCGGCCACACUGGGACUGAGACACGGCCCAGACUCCUACGGGAGGCAGCAGUGGGGAAUCUUGGGCAAUGGACGAAAGUCUGACCGAGCCACGCCGCGUGAAUGAAGAAGGUUUUCGGGUCGUAAAGCUCUGUUGUUAGGGAAGCGGGAUCUAACCAGAAAGCCACGGCUAACUACGUGCCAGCAGCCGCGGUAAUUC
rnacentral:rRNA from 1 species